GGAGUAUUUAAGCAGGAGGCUGCCAGCACUUUGAUGCCAGAGUGUUUGCCUUCAGUGGCAGAAACCUGAAUCUUUUGAUUAUCUUCGUUGAACACUGACUUCGGUUCCAGAAGUUUCUGGACGAUCAAGAUUAUCUACGUUAUGUGGAUUUCGUUUGGAUUUUGUUUCCAAGGACCAAGUUGGCAGCUUCCUGUUUUCGUCAGUCUCCUGAACCAAGGCAUAAGUGUACCCUGUCCACCCUCCAACGCAAGUUCCUGAACAAGGAACUCACCAGAACUCAUUCUACAACUCAAGAAAAACCAUCUGGAUUUAUCUGCUUCGCACACCUGGACCCCGAUCCCCUCUACCCCUGGUGACCUGACUGCACUUGUUUAUUGGCGAUUCACCCGUUCCAGACUCAGUUGCUGUUAAUAAACACCUUUCACUGA